AAUAGAUACCCCGGUAGUCCACGCCGUAAACGAUGUCGACUUGGAGGUUGUUCCCUUGAGGAGUGGCUUCCGGAGCUAACGCGUUAAGUCGACCGCCUGGGGAGUACGGCCGCAAGGUUAAAACUCAAAUGAAUUGACGGGGGCCCGCACAAGCGGUGGAGCAUGUGGUUUAAUUCGAUGCAACGCGAAGAACCUUACCUACUCUUGACAUCCAGAGAACUUAGCAGAGAUGCUUUGGUGCCUUCGGGAACUCUGAGACAGGUGCUGCAUGGCUGUCGUCAGCUCGUGUUGUGAAAUGUUGGGUUAAGUCCCGCAACGAGCGCAACCCUUAUCCUUUGUUGCCAGCGGUUCGGCCGGGAACUCAAAGGAGACUGCCAGUGAUAAACUGGAGGAAGGUGGGGAUGACGUCAAGUCAUCAUGGCCCUUACGAGUAGGGCUACACACGUGCUACAAUGGCGUAUACAAAGAGAAGCGACCUCGCGAGAGCAAGCGGACCUCAUAAAGUACGUCGUAGUCCGGAUUGGAGUCUGC
rnacentral:rRNA from 1 species